UUCGGAAGGGAUGUGUUUAUUAGAUAAAAANNCCAAUGNCCCUUCNGGGCUCUUUGGUGAUUCAUGAUAACUUUACGGAUCGCAUAGCCUUGCGNCUGGCGACNGGUUCAUUCAAANNNUUUCUGNCCCUAUCAACNUUUCGAUGGUAAGGUAUUNGGCUUANCCAUGGUUUCAACGGGUAACGGGGNAAUUAGGGUUCGAUUCCGGAGAGGGAGCCUGAGNAAACGGCUACCACAUCCAAGGAAGGCAGCAGGCGCGCNAAAUUACCCAAUCCCGACACGGGGAGGUAGUGACAAUAAAUACUGAUACAGGGCUCUUUUGGGUCUUGUAAUUGGAAUGAGUACAAUUUAAACCUCUUAACGAGGAACAAUUGGAGGGCAAGUCUGGUGCCAGCAGCCGCGGUAAUUCCAGCUCCAAUAGCGUAUAUUAAAGUUGUUGCAGUUAAAAAGCUCGUAGUUGAAACUUGGGUCUGGCUGGCNGGGUCCGCCUCACCGCGUGCACUCGUCCGGCCGGACCNUUCCUUUUAGCGAACCUCAUGCCCUUCACUGGGCGUGCUGGGGAACUAAGACUUUUACUUUGAAAAAAUUAGAGUGUUCAAAGCAGGCCUUUGCUCGAAUACGUUAGCAUGGAAUAAUAAAAUAGGGCGUGCGUUUCUAUUUUGUUGGUUUCUAGAGACGCCGCAAUGAUUAACAGGAACAGUCGGGGGCAUCAGUAUUCAGUUGUCAGAGGUGAAAUUCUUGGAUUUACUGAAGACUAACUACUGCGAAAGCAUUUGCCAAGGAUGUUUUCAUUAAUCAGUGAACGAAAGUUAGGGGAUCGAAGACGAUCAGAUACCGUCGUAGUCUUAACCGUAAACUAUGCCGACUAGGGAUCGGGCGAUGUUCUUUUUCUGACUCGCUCGGCACCUUACGAGAAAUCAAAGU
rnacentral:rRNA from 1 species